rnacentral:lncRNA from 1 species
GGGGGUACUGUGAAGGAGUAGGCUCGUGCCGGGGUGGCUCGGGAUCCGCUCGCUGUAGUGUGGCUCAACCUGUGGUAGUGGAGGAGGGUCGGGUAACUCCCUUCUCUCCUCUCGGCCUUGCUGGGCAGCAAUGAUCCUUUCUAGCAUCUCAAAUAUUCUGUCCACAUCUUUCCGAAGUGAAUCAUCCCGGGCUGCUCGGUUUAGUGGGGGUCUUCCUCUCCUCAU